rnacentral:rRNA from 1 species
GAUGAACGCUGGCGGCGUGCCUAAUACAUGCAAGUCGAGCGAACAGACGAGGAGCUUGCUCCUCUGACGUUAGCGGCGGACGGGUGAGUAACACGUGGAUAACCUACCUAUAAGACUGGGAUAACUUCGGGAAACCGGAGCUAAUACCGGAUAAUAUAUUGAACCGCAUGGUUCAAUAGUGAAAGACGGUUUUGCUGUCACUUAUAGGUGGAUCCGCGCCGCAUUAGCUAGUUGGUAAGGUAACGGCUUACCAAGGCAACGAUGCGUAGCCGACCUGAGAGAGUGAUCGGCCACACUGGAACUGAGACACGGUCCAGACUCCUACGGGAGGCAGCAGUAGGGAAUCUUCCGCAAUGGGCGAAAGCCUGACGGAGCAACGCCGCGUGAGUGAUGAAGGUCUUCGGAUCGUAAAACUCUGUUAUUAGGGAAGAACAAAUGUGUAAGUAACUAUGCACGUCUUGACGGUACCUAAUCAGAAAGCCACGGCUAACUACGUG